UUCCUACGGGAGGCUUGCAGUGGGGAAUAUUGGACAAUGGGCGAAAGCCUGAUCCAGCAAUGCCGCGUGAGUGAAGAAGGCCUUAGGGUUGUAAAGCUCUUUUACCCGGGAUGAUAAUGACAGUACCGGGAGAAUAAGCUCCGGCUAACUCCGUGCCAGCAGCCGCGGUAAUACGGAGGGAGCUAGCGUUGUUCGGAAUUACUGGGCGUAAAGCGCACGUAGGCGGCUACUCAAGUCAGAGGUGAAAGCCCGGGGCUCAACCCCGGAACUGCCUUUGAAACUAGGUAGCUAGAAUCUUGGAGAGGUCAGUGGAAUUCCGAGUGUAGAGGUGAAAUUCGUAGAUAUUCGUGAAGAACACC
rnacentral:rRNA from 1 species